AUGAGGAAGCCCGUGGAGUGCCCGGCGACGAAGUGCAGCGGUGGGGCGGCGCCAGGAAACAGCAAUGUGGCUGCAGCGGCGGCGAAGCUGCGGAAGGGGCUGUGGUCCCCGGAGGAGGACGAGAGGCUGGUGGCGUACAUGCUGCGGAGCGGGCAGGGGUCGUGGAGCGACGUGGCACGCAACGCCGGCCUGCAGCGGUGCGGCAAGAGCUGCCGCCUCCGGUGGAUCAACUACCUCCGUCCGGACCUCAAGCGCGGCGCCUUCUCGCCACAGGAGGAGGACCUCAUCGUCAACCUCCACGCCAUCCUCGGCAACAGAUGGUCUCAGAUCGCAGCCAGGUUACCGGGGCGCACCGACAACGAGAUCAAGAACUUCUGGAACUCCACUAUCAAGAAGCGGCUAAAGAUGAACUCGGCGGCUUCGUCUCCGGCGACCACGGAAUGUGCGUCACCCCCCGAGCCCAAGCUCGACGGCGGCAGUGCCAGCUGCCUCGACCUCACCAGCCUAGAGGAUGGGAGCCACCACGGAAUGAAGAGCAUGUGGCGGAUCGACUCAUCCUCCUCCCCCUCUUCGUCAUCGUCCAUACAGCAGCAGAGCCGACCGUCAACAAUGGCUCCGGCGGCAAACAGGGGCUAUGGGGGCCUCCUCCUGCCCCUCCCGAACCAAUUCUGCGGCGUCGCACCUUCUACCGACACGUCGGUGCCGCCGUUCUUCCACGACCAUUCAUCGUUUAAGCAGGUUUCUCCCUUGCGGACUGGUGGCUACUACCCCCACGGAAUGGCAAUGGAAAGAGGAGGCGGUUCCUGCUUCACGGGAGAAGAAGCUGUAGGCGGAGGAGGCGAACAUAGUGUCCUCUUCAACGUGCCACCUCUACUAGAGCCCAUGGCAGUAACAUUGCAAGACCAAACCUUAAUGGCAGCAACUGGUAACAGCGACGACAACCAUAGAAACAUUAACAGUACUGCUGAGGGCACCACACUGAGCAGCAAAAAUGGCUGCAACAUCAAUGACGACAACAACAGCAAGAACAACAUCAACAGUGUGGUCUCGUACUGGGAGCAGCAUGGCCACCAGCAGCACAUGAGCAGGAACGUAGUCAUGGGGGAGUGGGACUUGGAGGAGCUGAUGAAAGACGUGUCAUGCUUGCCUUUCCUUGAUUUCCAAGUUGAGUGA
rnacentral:rRNA from 1 species